GAAAAGUGGGGGCGAGUGGCGGCGGUAUGAGGGGGUGUGCGAGCGUUAAGCGGAGUAAUUGGGCGUAAAGCGUGCGUAGGCGGCUUCGUAAGUCGGAUGUGAAUUCCCUGAGCUUAACUUAGGAAUUGCAUUCGAUACUGGGAAGCUAGAGUAUGGGAGAGGAUGGUAGAAUUCCAGGUGUAGCGGUGAAAUGCGUAGAGAUCUGGAGGAAUACCGAUGGCGAAGGCAGCUUCCUGGCAUAAUAUUGACACUGAGAUUCGAAAGCGUGGGUAGCAAACAGGAUUAGAUUCCCUGGUAGUC
rnacentral:rRNA from 1 species